rnacentral:misc_RNA from 1 species
GCAAACUUGGUCAUUUAGAGGAAGUAAAAGUCGUAACAAGGUUUCCGUAGGUGAACCUGCGGAAGGAUCAUUACAGAGUUUUUUGGGAUAAUUCCCAAGACUCCCACCCUGAUUACUUUACCUUAUUUGCUUCGGCAGAUUUUAUCUGCCGGAGGACUAUUUUAAACUCUGUUUAACUGUUUUGUCUAAGUCUAUAUAAAAUUAAAUCAAAACUUUCAACAACGGAUCUCUUGGUUCCCGCAUCGAUGAAGAACGCAGC